rnacentral:rRNA from 1 species
CACGCUGUAAACGAUGGGUACUAGGUGUUGGGGGUAUCGACCCCCUCAGUGCCGCAGUUAACACAAUAAGUACCCCGCCUGGGGAGUACGGCCGCAAGGCUGAAACUCAAAGGAAUUGACGGGGGCCCGCACAAGCGGUGGAGCAUGUGGUUUAAUUCGACGCAACGCGAAGAACCUUACCGGGGUUUGACAUCCUGCGAACCCUUUGGAAACAAGGGGGUGCCCUUCGGGGAGCGCAGAGACAGGUGG